rnacentral:rRNA from 1 species
GAUUAAGUUAUUAAGGGCGCACGGUGGAUGCCUUGGCACUAGAAGCCGAUGAAGGACGUUACUAACGACGAUAUGCUUUGGGUAGCUGUAAGUAAGCGUUGAUCCAGAGAUUUCCGAAUGGGGGAACCCAACAUGAGUUAUGUCAUGUUAUCGACAUGUGAAUUCAUAGCAUGUCAGAAGGCAGACCCGGAGAACUGAAACAUCUUAGUACCCGGAGGAAGAGAAAGAAAAAUCGAUUCCCUGAGUAGCGGC